UACGUAGGGUGCGAGCGUUAAUCGGAAUUACUGGGCGUAAAGCGUGCGCAGGCGGUUUUGUAAGCCAGAUGUGAAAUCCCCGGGCUUAACCUGGGAAUGGCAUUUGGGACUGCAAGGCUGGAGUGUGGCAGAGGAGACUGGAAUUCCUGGUGUAGCAGUGAAAUGCGUAGAGAUGUGGAGGAACACCGAUGGCGAAGGCAGCCCCCUGGGCCAAUACUGACGCUCAUGCACGAAAGCGUGGGGAGCAAACAGG
rnacentral:rRNA from 1 species